rnacentral:rRNA from 1 species
CGGACGGGUGAGUAACACGUGGGUAACCUGCCCUGCACAGGGGGAUAACACCUGGAAACAGGUGCUAAAACCGCAUAAGCGCACAGAGGCGCAUGCCUCAGUGUGAAAAACUCCGGUGGUGCAGGAUGGACCCGCGUCUGAUUAGGCAGUUGGCGGGGUAACGGCCCACCAAACCGACGAUCAGUAGCCGGCCUGAGAGGGUGGACGGCCACAUUGGGACUGAGACACGGCCCAAACUCCUACGGGAAGCAGCAGUGGGGAAUAUGGCGCAAUGGGGGCAACCCCUGACGCAGCAAACGCCGCGUGCAGGAAGAAGGUCUUUCGGAUCGUAAACUGUUGUCGCAAGGGAAGAAGACAGUGACGGUACCUUGUGAGAAAGUCACGGCUAACUACGUGCCAGCAGCCGCGGUAAUACGUAGGUGACAAGCGUUGUCCGGAUUUACUGGGUGUAAAGGGCGCGUAGGCGGACUAUCAAGUCAGUCGUGAAAUACCGGGGCUUAACCCCGGGGCUGCGAUUGAAACUGACAGCCUUGAGUAUCGGAGAGGAAAGCGGAAUUCCCAGUGUAGCGGUGAAAUGCGUAGAUAUUGGGAGGAACACCAGUGGCGAAGGCGGCUUUCUGGACGACAACUGACGCUGAAGCGCGAAAGUGUGGGGAGCAAACAGGAUUAGAUACCCUGGUAGUCCACACCGUAAACGAUGGAUACUAGGUGUAGGAGGUAUCGACUCCUUCUGUGCCGCAGUUAACACAAUAAGUAUCCCACCUGGGGAGUACGACCGCAAGGUUGAAACUCAAAGGAAUUGACGGGGGCCCGCACAAGCAGUGGAGUAUGUGGUUUAACUCGAAGCAACGCGAAGAACCUUACCCAGUCUUGACAUCUGGAUGACAGAGCAUGUAAAGUGCUUUCUCUUCGGAGCAUCCAAGACAGGUGGUGCAUGGUUGUCGUCAGCUCGUGUCGUGAGAUGUUGGGUUAAGUCCCGCAACGAGCGCAACCCUUAUUCCUAGUAGCCAGCGGAUAAAGCCGGGCACUCUAGGGAGACUGCCGGGGAUAACCCGGAGGAAGGUGGGGAUGACGUCAAAUCAUCAUGCCCCUUAUGAUUUGGGCUACACACGUGCUACAAUGGCGUAAACAAAGGGAAGCGAACCUGCGAGGGGGAGCGAAACCCAAAAAUAACGUCCCAGUUCGGACUGCAGUCUGCAACCCGACUGCACGAAGCUGGUAUCGCUAGUAAUCGCGGAUCAGAAUGCCGCGGUGAAUACGUUCCCGGGUCUUGUACACACCGCCCGUCACACCAUGGGAGUCGGAAAUGCCCGAAGUCUGUGACCUAACCGGAAGGGGGGAGCAGUCGAAGGCAGGUCGGAUGACUGGGGUGAAGUCGUAACAAGGUAG